GGCACUUUGGCGGAGUGGUUAACGCGCUGCCCUGCUAAGGCAGUUCCGUAAGUUUCACAUCAGCAUCACCUGAGCCGCAAACGCAUCAUUCUAACAUACUCAAAGUUCGGGAGCGUGUGUUCGAAUCACACAGGUGUCG